rnacentral:rRNA from 1 species
AUCCUACGGGAGGCAGCAGUGAGGAAUUUUCGUCAAUGGGCGCAAGCCUGAACGAGCAAUGCCGCGUGAACGAGGAAGGUCUUCGGAUCGUAAAGUUCUGUUGAAGGGGAAAAAGAGCGGAGAGGGGACAUGAACUCCGAUUGAUAUUACCCUUCGAGGAAGUCACGGCUAACUACGUGCCAGCAGCCGCGGUAAUACGUAGGUGGCGAGCGUUAUCCGGAAUGAUUGGGCGUAAAGGGUGCGUAGGCGGCCUGCUAAGUCUGGAGUGAAAGGCACCGGCUCAACCGGUACAGGCUCUGGAAACU